rnacentral:tRNA from 1 species
CGGGGAGUGGCGCAGCCUGGUAGCGCACCUGAAUGGGGUUCAGGGGGCCGGAGGUUCAAAUCCUGUCUCCCCGA